UACGUAGGGGGCAAGCGUUGUCCGGAAUUAUUGGGCGUAAAGCGCUCGCAGGCGGUCUUUUAAGUCUGAUGUGAAAGCCCACGGCUUAACCGUGGAGGGUCAUUGGAAACUGGAGGACUUGAGUACAGAAGAGGAGAGUGGAAUUCCACGUGUAGCGGUGAAAUGCGUAGAGAUGUGGAGGAACACCAGUGGCGAAGGCGACUCUCUGGUCUGUAACUGACGCUGAGGAGCGAAAGCGUGGGGAGCGAACAGG
rnacentral:rRNA from 2 species